UUGUAUUUUUUUAGAGCAGAACGUCAUUCGGAAGUGUAGAUACUUACUCUGCAGAUUUUGUCUGCAUAUAACUGUCUCUGUGAGUCAGGUUUAGAGACUUUACUUCUACACUGCAGGAACAAAGCCUGACAAAUAGUAGACCUCUUAGAAGAUCUCUGGAAAACAAGAAGGGUACUUCCACCAUGGGUGGACAUAACGCUGACAGCCGGUUGGAGUUUCAGUAAUGGGAAGUUCCCUGCCAUGAUUUCACAGUGCAUAGCUACAACUCCAGAAAAAAGUAAGGAAAAUAACCAAACAAGGAAACUGACCACGUGGAUAGCCAUUCAAUCCUCACCAGCUGCUAUCAAUGUUCUGUCUACUUUUCUAACGUAAUGGCUAUAUAGUUGUUCUGGAUAGGCGAAAUUACAUAUAUAACAUAAGUUUACUGAUGGUGUGAUAAACAAGCUGAGGGCAAAAGGCAUAUCGGCAAACCAUGGCCAGCAAGUGCACAGAAAAUCUUAGCAGUAAGGGAAACGCAUGCUGAGAGAUUGGAGAGACUCAGAGAAG